CGGAAGUGUUGCAUUUGCUGCAACCCUUAUAAGCCCAUUGACCCUCCUGCCAAGCAUGUGGAUGUGACUGUUUUUCUGGUCUCUUCCUAGAAUGAAGCCACAUUUAUCCCCUUCUGAUUCUUUCCUCAUCUUAACAAUGAAACACAAGUCGAUUCUUCUGAGUUAUUUUCUGUUGAGUUCAACACCUCUGUCCCUGCCUCCUUCCUCCCUUCCCCCAUAUUUUUUGAAAUAUUCUCUGUUCAGUAGAGAAAAGGGCUGAUUUCAAAUUCCUAGACCAAGUAUAACAGCUCAGUCCUAAGAAUCUGAAAAGCCAUGUGAAAGUGUUUUAAUUAUUAUGUAUUGCUGGAGGAGUUCGCAGAAAUAUAGUGGGCCCUUGGGACCCUUUUAGGAAACUUGGGUUCCUAAAAGUUAACUGUGUGCUGGGUCCAUCAUUCCCAACCAUGUCCUGUCUCAGCACAUGUAGAAGCAGCACACCAGGGACCUGGGUGAGGCGCUGUGGGCAGCUGGGUGGGACAUAGGUGAGGCGCUGUGGGCAGAUGUGGCCAGUGGGUGGGACAUAGGUGAGGCGCUGUGGGCAGAUGUGGCCAGUGGGUGGGGCAUAGGUGAGGCGCUAUGGGCAGAUGUGGCCAGUGGGUGGGACAUAGGUGAGGCG